GUGCCGCCAAUACUCGCGCGCGCUGGUGAACCUGGCCCGGGAACGCGCGCGGAGCUUCCCCACAGGCCUCUCGAGCCAAGUACGUGGACACAGAUCUUCCACUGCAUCUCCAGGUAUGAGGAGGAAAUGGAGGCAUAUUUUCAGCAGAUCCUGUCCCAAGUGAACUGGAGACCUUUGCUCUCAUUGCCUUAGUCUCUGUGGCUGUAGAAUGUGUCCAGGAGUAACACCCACCCUCUCAGGCCUUGCUUCUGAAACCAGUAUACGAUCCUAGCGGA
rnacentral:lncRNA from 1 species